rnacentral:misc_RNA from 1 species
UCUCCGUAGGUGAACCUGCGGAGGGAUCAUUACAGAGUUCUCGCCAUCACGGGAAGACCUCCCACCCAAUGUUAUCGUUACCACCGUUUCUUCGGCGGGCCGCCGCGCCCUGCCCGGCCGCCGGCCCCCGGCGGCGCGCGCCCGCCAGUGGCCCGUUAAACUCUCAAUGUCUGUGUCGUCCGAGUACAUAACAAAAAUCUAAAAUUUAAACAACGGAUCGCUUGGUUCUCGCAGCGAAGAAGAACGGAGCGGAAUGGCAGAGCACUGGACUGAACUCCC